rnacentral:piRNA from 1 species
UGAGCCUAGUUCUGUUUCCUAGCACAGUA